UACGUAGGGGGCAAGCGUUGUCCGGAUUUAUUGGGCGUAAAGAGCGUGUAGGCGCCAGACAGGUCCGUUGUGAAAACUCGAGGCUCAACCUCGAGACGUCGAUGGAAACCGUCUGGCUAGAGUCCGGAAGAGGAGUGUGGAAUUCCUGGUGUAGCGGUGAAAUGCGCAGAUAUCAGGAAGAACACCUAUGGCGAAGGCAGCACUCUGGGACGGUACUGACGCUGAGGUGCGAAAGCGUGGGGAGCAAACAGG
rnacentral:rRNA from 1 species